GGUCAAUUGGUCUAGUGGUAUGAUUCUCGCUUAGGGAAUACCCUGAGUAUACGCUUGCGAGAGGUGUGUAGCUGUUGAGAUGAUAAUAAUAUCGAAUAUGGACUCACGACGUUACAGGUCCCGCGUUCAAUCCGCGGAUUGACCC